rnacentral:tRNA from 1 species
GGGCAGGUGGCCGAGUGGUUAAUGGCAGCAGACUGUAAAUCUGCCCCGCUUCGCGGUACGGAGGUUCGAAUCCUUCCCUGCCCACCA